AGAGUUUGAUCAUGGCUCAGAACGAACGCUGGCGGCGUGCUUAACACAUGCAAGUCGAACGCGAACGAGUUCUUCGGAACUUUAGUAGAGUGGCGCACGGGUGAGUAACGCGUAAGUAAUCUACCCUGAUAUCUGGGAUAACAAUUCGAAAGGAUUGCUAAUACCGGAUACGUUGAUUUAUCAAGAAAGAUGGCCUCUUCAUGAAAGCUAUUGUAUCGGGAGGAGCUUGCGUACCAUUAGCUAGCUGGUGGGGUAAUGGCCUACCAAGGCAACGAUGGUUAGCGGGUCUGAGAGGAUGAUCCGCCACACUGGAACUGAAACACGGACCAGACUCCUACGGGAGACAGCAGUGAGGAAUAUUGCGCAAUGGGGGCAACCCUGACGCAGCGACGCCGCGUGGAUGAUGAAGGCUUUCGGGUCGUAAAAUCCUGUCAGAUGGGAAGAAAUGAUUCAUGGUUAACACCUAUGUUUUUUGACGG
rnacentral:rRNA from 1 species